rnacentral:rRNA from 1 species
GAUGAACGCUGGCGGCGUGCCUAAUACAUGCAAGUCGAGCGAACGGACGAGAAGCUUGCUUCUCUGAUGUUAGCGGCGGACGGGUGAGUAACACGUGGAUAACCUACCUAUAAGACUGGGAUAACUUCGGGAAACCGGAGCUAAUACCGGAUGAUAUUUUGAACCGCAUGGUUCAAAAGUGAAAGACGGUCUUGCUGUCACUUAUAGAUGGAUCCGCGCUGCAUUAGCUAGUUGGUAAGGUAACGGCUUACCAAGGCAACGAUGCAUAGCCGACCUGAGAGGGUGAUCGGACACACUGGAACUGAGACACGGUCCAGACUCCUACGGGAGGCAGCAGUAGGGAAUCUUACGCAAUGGGCGAAAGCCUGACGGAGCAAAGCCGCGUGAGUGAUGAAGGUCUUCGGAUCGUAAAACUCUGUUAUUAGGGAAGAACAUAUGUGUAAGUAACUGUGCACAUCUUGACGGUACCUAAUCAGAAAGCCACGGCUAACUACGUG